rnacentral:lncRNA from 1 species
GAAGAGGUUCAAAAGCUAGAAUCAAAAUCAGUAGCAAUUCAAAAUCACUUCAAAAACUCUAAGUGCUCUAGCAAUUUAUACUUGGUUACGCUUGAUUAGGAGGCUUAGACACUAAUCCAGCAAGUGAAACGUCAAAUUUGUCCUUGAAAGCUCAAUUUUCGGUUAAAUUCAAAACAUGAAAUUUUGUAUAAAAACCUAAAUUUUUGUCAAACUAAAAUUUGUAGAGUUUUCCAUUUCUAGCAACCUUUCUAAUUAGCACUUUGGAUGGUUUCGAGAGGAAGAGGUUCAAAAGCUAGAAUGAAAAUCACUAGCAAUUCAAAAUCACUUCAAAAACUCUAAGUUCUCUUGCAAAUUAUACUGGGUUAUGCUUGAUUAGGAGGCUUAGACACUAAUCCAGCAAGUCAAAAGUCAAAUUUGCCCUUAAAAGCUCAUUUUUGGGUUAAAUUCGAAACUUGAAAUUUCGUAUAGAAACUUAAGAUUCUAUCAAACUAAAAGUUGUAGAUUUUUACAUUUCUAGCAAUUAUUCCUAUUAGCACUUUGAAUGGUUUGGAGAGUAAAAGGUUCAAAAGCUAGAAUGAAAAUUAGUAGCAAUUCAAAAUCACUUCAAAAACUCUAUGUGCUCUAGCAAAUUAUACUAGGUUACGCUUGAUUAGGAGGCUUAGACACUAAUCCAGCAAGUGAAAAGUCAAAUUUGCCCUCAACAACUCAAUUUUGGGUUAAAUUCGAAACUUGAAAUUUCGUAUAGAAACUUAAGAUUCUGUCAAACUAAAAGUUGUAGAUUUUUACAUUUCCAGCAACUAUUCCUAUUAGCACUUUGAAUGGUUUGGAGAGGAAGAGGUUCAAAAGCUAGAAUGAAAAUCAGUAGCAAUUCAAAAUCGCUUCAAAAACUCUAAGUGCUGUAGCAAAUUAUACUUGGUUACGCUUGAUUAGGAGGCUUAGACACUAAUCCAGCAAGUGAAAAGUCAAAUUUACCCUUAAAAGCUCAAUUUUGCGUUAAAUUCGAAACAUGAAAUUUUGUAUAGAAACUUAAGAUUUUGUCAAACGAAAAGUUGUAGAGUUUUACAUUUCUAGCAACUUUUCUUAUUAGCACUUUGAAUGGUUUGGACAGGAAGAGGUUCAAAAGCUAGAAUCAAAAUCACUAGCAAUUCAAAAUCACUUCAAAAACUCUAAGUGCUCUAGCAAAUUAUACUUGGUUACGCUUAAUUAGGAGGCUUAGACACCAAUCCAACAAGUGAAAAGUCAAAUUUGCCUUUAAAAGCUCAAUUUUGCGUUAAAUUCGAAACAUGAAAUUUUGUAUAGAAACUUAAGAUUUUGUCAACUAAAAGUUGUAGAGUUUGACAUUUAUAGCAACUUUUAUUAUUAGCACUUUAAACGGUUUCGAGAAGAAAAGGUUUUAAAAGCUAGAAUCAAAAUCAGUAGCAAUUCAAAAUCACUUCAAACACUCUAAGUGCUCUAGCAAAUUAUACUUGGUUACGCUUGAUUAGGAGGCUUAGACACUAAUCCAGCAAGUGAAAAGUCAAAUUUGCCCUUGAAAGCUCAAUUUUGGGUUAAAUUCGAAACAUGGAAUUUUGUAUAGAAACUGAAGUUUUGGUCAAACGAAAUGUUGUAGAGUUUAACAUUUCUAGCAACUAUUGUUAUUAGCACUUUGAUUGGUUUGGAGAGGAAGAGGUUCAAAAGCUAGAAUCAAAAUCAGCAGCAAUUCAAAAUCACUUCAAAAACUCUAAGUGCUCUAGCAAUUUAUACUUGGUUACGCUUAAUUAGGAGGCUUAGACACUAAUCCGACAAGUGAAAAGUCAAAUUUGCCCUUAAAAGCUCAAUUUUGCGUUAAAUUUGAAACAUGAAAUUUUGUAUAGAAACUUAAGAUUUUGUCAAACUAAAAGUUGUAGAGUUUGACAUUUAUAGCAACUUUUCUUAUUAGCACUUUGAACGGUUUCGAGAAGAAAAGAUUCAAAAGCUAGAAUCAAAAUCAGUAGCAAUUCAAAAUCACUUCAAACACUCUAAGUGCUCUAGCAAUUUAUACUUCGUUACGCUUGAUUAGGAGGCUUAGACCCUAAUCCAGCAAGUGAAAAGUCAAAUUUGUCCUUGAAAGCUCAAUUUUGGGUUAAAUUCAAAACUUGAAAUUUUGUAUAAAAACCUAAAUUUUUGUCAAACGAAAAGUUGUAGAGUUUUAUAUGUCUAGCAACUUUUCUAAUUAGCACUUUGGAUGGUUUCGAGAGGAAGAGGUUCAAAAGCUAGAAUGAAAAUUAGUAGUAAUUCAAAAUCACUUCAAAAAGUCUAUGUUCUCUAGCAAAUUAUACUUGGUUAUGCUUGAUUUGGAGGCUUAGACACUAAUCCAGCAAGUCAAAAGUCAAAUUUGCCCUUGAAAGCUCAAUUUUGGGUUAAAUUCGAAACUUGAAAUUUCGUAUAGAAACUUAAGAUUCUGUCAAACUAAAAGUUGUAGAUUUUUACAUUUCCAGCAACUAUUCCUAUUAGCACUUUGUAUGGUUUGGAGAGGAAGAGGUUCAAAAGCUAGAAUGAAAAUCAGUAGCAAUUCAAAAUCGCUUCAAAAACUCUAAGUGUUGUAGCAAAUUAUACUUGGUUACGCUUGAUUACGAGGCUUAGACACUAAUCCAGCAAGUGAAAAGUCAAAUUUGCCCUUAAAAGCUCAAUUUUGGGUUAAAUUCGAAACAUGAAAUUUUGUAUAGAAACUUAAGAUUUUGUCAAACGAAAAGUUUUAGAGUUUUACAUUUCUAGCAACUUUUCUUAUUAGCACUUUGAAUGGUUUGGACAGGAAGAGGUUCAAAAGCUAGAAUCAAAAUCACUAGCAAUUCAAAAUCACUUCAAAAACUCUAAGUGCUCUAGCAAAUUAUACUUGGUUACGCUUGAUUAGGAGGCUUAGAUACCAAUCCAACAAGUGAAAAGUCAAAUUUGCCCUUAAAAGCUCAAUUUUGCGUUAAAUUCGAAAUACGAAAUUUUGUAUAGAAACUUAAGAUUUUGUCAACUAAAAGUUGUAGAGUUUGACAUUUAUAGCAACUUUUCUUAUUAGCACUUUAAACGGUUUCGAGAAGAAAAGGUUUUAAAAGCUAGAAUCAAAAUCAGUAGCAAUUCAAAAUCACUUCAAACACUCUAAGUGCUCUAGCAAAUUAUACUUGGUUACGCUUGAUUAGGAGGCUUAGACACUAAUCCAGCAAGUGAAAAGUCAAAUUUGCCCUUGAAAGCUCAACUUUGGGUUAAAUUCGAAACAUGGAAUUUUGUAUAGAAACUGAAGUUUUGGUCAAACGAAAUGUUGUAGAGUUUUACAUUUCUAGCAACUUUUGUUAUUGGCACUUUGAAUGGUUUGGAGAGGAAGAGGUUCAAAAGCUAGAAUUAAAAUCAGCAGCAAUUCAAAAUCACUUCAAACACUCUAAGUGCUCUAGCAAUUUAUACUUGGUUACGCUUGAUUAGGAGGCUUAGACACUAAUCCGACAAGUGAAAAGUCAAAUUUGCCCUUAAAAGCUCAAUUUUGCGUUAAAUUUGAAACAUGAAAUUUUGUAUAGAAACUUAAGAUUUUGUCAAACUAAAAGUUGUAGAGUUUGACAUUUAUAGCAACUUUUCUUAUUAGCACUUUGAACGGUUUCGAGAAGAAAAGAUUCAAAAGCUAGAAUCAAAAUCAGUAGCAAUUCAAAAUCACUUCAAACACUCUAAGUGCUCUAGCAAUUUAUACUUCCUUACGCUUGAUUAGGAGGCUUAGACCCUAAUCCAGCAAGUGAAAAGUCAAAUUUGUCCUUGAAAGCUCAAUUUUGGGUUAAAUUCAAAACUUGAAAUUUUGUAUAAAAACCCAAAUUUUUGUCAAACGAAAAGUUGUAGAGUUUUAUAUUUCUAGCAACUUUUCUAAUUAGCACUUUGGAUGGUUUCGAGAGGAAGAGGUUCAAAAGCUAGAAUGAAAAUUAGUAGCAAUUCAAAAUCACUUCAAAAAGUCUAUGUUCUCUAGCAAAUUAUACUUGGUUAUGCUUGAUUUGGAGGCUUAGACACUAAUCCAGCAAGUCAAAAGUCAAAUUUGCCCUUGAAAGCUCAAUUUUCGGUUAAAUUCGAAACUUGAAAUUUCGUACAGAAACUUAAGAUUCUGUCAAAUGAAAGGUUGUAGAGUUUUACAUUUCUAGCAACUUUUCGUAUUAGCACUUUGAAUGGUUUGGAGAAAAAGAGGUCCAAAAGCUAGAAUCAAAAUCAGUAGCAAUUCAAAAUCACCUCAAAAACUCUAAAUGCUCUAGCAAAUUAUACUUGGUUACGCUUGAUUAGGAGGCUUAGACACUAAUCCAACAAGUGAAAAGUCAAAUUUGCCCUUAACAACUCAAUUUUGGGUUAAAUUUGAAACCUGAAAUUUCGUAUAGAAACUUAAGAUUUUGUCAAACGAAAAGUUUUAGAGUUUUACAUUUCGAGCAACUUUUCUUAUUAGCACUUUGAAUGGUUUGGAGAGGAAGAGGUUCAAAAGCUAGAAUCAAAAUCAAUAGCAAUUCAAAAUCACUUCAAAACCUCUAAGUGCUCUAGCAAAUUAUACUUGGUUACGCUUGAAUAGGAGGCUUAGACACUAAUCCAACAAGUAAAAAGUCAAGUUUUCCCUUAAAAGCUCAAUUUUGCGUUAAACUCGAAACAUGAAAUUUUGAAUAGAAACUUAAGAUUUUGUCAAACUAAAAGUUGUAGAGUUUGACAUUUAUAGCAACUUUUCUUAUUAGCACUUUGAAUGGUUUCGAGAAGAAAAGGUUCAAAAGCUAGAAUCAAAAUCAGUAGCAAUUCAAAAUCACUUCAAAAAGUCUAAGUUCUCUAGCAAAUUAUACACGAUUAUGCUUGAUUAGGAGGCUUAGACACUAAUCCAGCAAGUCAAAAGUCAAAUUUGCCCUUCAACGCUCAAUUUUGGGUUAAAUUCGAAACUUAAAAUUUCGUACAGAAACUUAAGAUUCUGUCAAACCGAAAGUUGUAGAUUUUUACAUUUCUAGCAACUAUUCCAAUUAGGACUUUGAAUGGUUUGGAGAGUAAGAGGUUCAAAAGCUAGAAUGAAAAUUAGUAGCAAUUCAAAAUCACUUCAAAAAUUCUAAGUGCUCUAGCAAAUUAUACUUGGUUAGGCUUGAUGAGGAGGCUUAGACACUAAACCAGCAAGUGAAAAGUCAAAUUUGCCCUUGAAAGCUCAAUUUUGGGUUAAAUUCGAAACUUGAAAUUUUGUACAGAAACUUAAGUUUUUGUCAAACGAAAAGUUGUAGAGUUUUACAUUUCUAGCAACUUUUCUAAUUAGGACUUUGGAUGGUUUGGAGAGGAAGAGGUUCAAAAUCUAGAAUCAAAAUCAGUAGCAAUUCAAAAUCACUUCAAACACUCUAAGUGCUCUAGCAAAUUAUACUUGGUUACGCUUGAUUAGGAGGCUUAGACACUAAUCCAGUAACUAUUCCUAUUAGCACUUUGAAUGGUUUGGAGAGGAAGAGGUUCAAAAGCUAGAAUGAAAAUCAGUAGCAAUUCAAAAUCGCUUCAAAAACUCUAAGUGCUCUAGCAAAUUAUACUUGGUUACGCUUGAUUAGGAGGCUUAGACACCAAUCCAACAAGUGAAAAGUCAAAUUUGCCCUUAAAAGCUCAAUUUUGCGUUAAAUUCGAAAUACGAAAUUUUGUAUAGAAACUUAAGAUUUUGUCAACUAAAAGUUGUAGAGUUUGACAUUUAUAGCAACUUUUCUUAUUAGCACUUUAAACGGUUUCGAGAAGAAAAGGUUUUAAAAGCUAGAAUCAAAAUCAGUAGCAAUUCAAAAUCACUUCAAACACUCUAAGUGCUCUAGCAAAUUAUACUUGGUUACGCUUGAUUAGGAGGCUUAGACACUAAUCCAGCAAGUGAAAAGUCAAAUUUGCCCUUGAAAGCUUAAUUUUGGGUUAAAUUCCAAACUUGAAAUUUCGUAUAGAAACUUAAGAUUCUGUCAAACUGAAAGUUGUUGAUUUUUACAUUUCUAGCAACUAUUCCUAUUAGCACUUUGAAUGGUUUGGAGAAUAAGACGUUCAAAAGGUAGAAUGAAAAUCAGUAGCAAUUCAAAAUCUCUUCAAAAACUCUAAGUGCUCUAGCAAAUUAUACUUGGUUAGGCUUGAUUAGGUGGCUUAGACACCAAUCCAACAAGUGAAAAGUCAAAUUUGCCCUUAACAACUCAAUUUUGGGUUAAAUUCGAAACCUGAAAUUUCGUACAGAAACUUAAGAUUCUGUCAAACGAAAGGUUGUAGAGUUUUACAUUUCUAGCAACUUUUUGUCGUAGCACUUUGAAUGGUUUGGAGAAAAAGAGGUCCAAAAGCUAGAAUCAAAAUCAGUAGCAAUUCAAAAUCACUUCAAAAACUCUAAGUGCUCUAGCAAAUUAUACUUGGUUACGCUUGAUUAGGAGGCUUAGACACUAAUCCAGCAAGUCAAAAGUCAAAUUUGCCCUUGAAAGAUGCAUUUUGGGUUAAAUUCGAAACUUGAAAUUUCGUAUAGAAACUUAAGAUUCUAUCAAACUAAAAGUUGUAGAUUUUUACAUUUCUAGCAAUUAAUCCUAUUAGCACUUUGAAUGGUUUGGAGAGUAAGAGGUUCAAAAGCUAGAGUGAAAAUCAGUAGCAAUUCAAAAUCACUUCAAACACUCUAAGUGCUCUAGCAAUUUAUACUUGGUUACGCUUGAUUAGGAGGCUUAGACGCUAAUCCAGCAAGUGAAAAGUCAAAUUUGCCCUGAACAACUAAAUUUUGUGUUAAAUUCGAAACAUGAAAUUUUCUAUAGAAACAUAAGAUUUUGUCAAACUAAAAGUUGUAGAGUUUGACAUUUCUAGAAACUUUUGUUAUUAGCACUUUGAAUGGUUUGGAGAGGAAGAGGUCGAAAAGCUAGAAUCAAAAUCAGUAGCAAUUCAAAAUCACUUCAAAAACUCUAAGUGCUCGAGCAAAUUAUACUUGGUUACACUUGAUUAGGAGGCUGAGACACUAAACCAGCAAGUGAAAAGUCAAAUUUGCCCUUGAAAACUCAAUUUUGGGUUAAAUUCGAAACUUGAAAUUUUGUACAGAAACUUAAGUUUUUGUCAAACGAAAAGUUGUAGAGUUUUACAUUUCUAGCAACUUUUCUAAUUAGGACUUUGGAUGGUUUGGAGAGGAAGAGGUUCAAAAUCUAGAAUCAAAAUCAGUAGCAAUUCAAAAUCACUUCAAACACUCUAAGUGCUCUAGCAAAUUAUACUUGGUUACGCUUGAUUAGGAGGCUUAGACACUAAUCCAGCAACUAUUCCUAUUAGCACUUUGAAUGGUUUGGAGAGGAAGAGGUUCAAAAGCUAGAAUGAAAAUCAGUAGCAAUUCAAAAUCGCUUCAAAAACUCCAAGUGCUGUAGCAAAUUAUACUUGGUUACGCUUGAUUAGGAGGCUUAGACACUAAUCCAGCAAGUGAAAAGUCAAAUUUGCCCUUAAAAGCUCAAUUUUGGGUUAAAUUCGAAACAUGAAAUUUUGUAUAGAAACUUAAGAUUUUGUCAAACGAAAAGUUUUAGAGUUUUACAUUUCUAGCAACUUUUCUUAUUAGCACUUUGAAUGGUUUGGACAGGAAGAGGUUCAAAAGCUAGAAUCAAAAUCACUAGCAAUUCAAAAUCACUUCAAAAACUCUAAGUGCUCUAGCAAAUUAUACUUGGUUACGCUUGAUUAGGAGGCUUAGACACCAAUCCAACAAGUGAAAAGUCAAAUUUGCCCUUAAAAGCUCAAUUUUGCGUUAAAUUCGAAACAUGAAAUUUUGUAUAGAAACUUAAGAUUUUGUCAACUAAAAGUUGUAGAGUUUGACAUUUAUAGCAACUUUUCUUAUUAGCACUUUAAACGGUUUCGAGAAGAAAAGGUUUUAAAAGCUAGAAUCAAAAUCAGUAGCAAUUCAAAAUCACUUCAAACACUCUAAGUGCUCUAGCAAAUUAUACUUGGUUACGCUUGAUUAGGAGGCUUAGACACUAAUCCAGCAAGUGAAAAGUCAAAUUUGCCCUUGAAAGCUUAAUUUUGGGUUAAAUUCCAAACUUGAAAUUUCGUAUAGAAACUUAAGAUUCUGUCAAACUGAAAGUUGUUGAUUUUUACAUUUCUAGCAACUAUUCCUAUUAGCACUUUGAAUGGUUUGGAGAAUAAGACGUUCAAAAGGUAGAAUGAAAAUCAGUAGCAAUUCAAAAUCUCUUCAAAAACUCUAAGUGCUCUAGCAAAUUAUACUUGGUUAGGCUUGAUUAGGAGGCUUAGACACCAAUCCAACAAGUGAAAAGUCAAAUUUGCCCUUAACAACUCAAUUUUGGGUUAAAUUCGAAACCUGAAAUUUCGUACAGAAACUUAAGAUUCUGUCAAACGAAAGGUUGUAGAGUUUUACAUUUCUAGCAACUUUUUGUCGUAGCACUUUGAAUGGUUUGGAGAAAAAGAGGUCCAAAAGCUAGAAUCAAAAUCAGUAGCAAUUCAAAAUCACUUCAAAAACUCUAAGUGCUCUAGCAAAUUAUACAUGGUUACGCUUGAUUAGGAGGCUUAGACACUAAUCCAGCAAGUCAAAAGUCAAAUUUGCCCUUGAAAGAUGCAUUUUGGGUUAAAUUCGAAACUUGAAAUUUCGUAUAGAAACUUAAGAUUCUAUCAAACUAAAAGUUGUAGAUUUUUACAUUUCUAGCAAUUAUUCCUAUUAGCACUUUGAAUGGUUUGGAGAGUAAGAGGUUCAAAAGCUAGAGUGAAAAUUAGUAGCAAUUCAAAAUCACUUCAAACACUCUAAGUGCUCUAGCAAAUUAUACUUUGUUACGCUUGAUUAGGAGGCUUAGACACUAAUCCAGCAACUAUUCCUAUUAGCACUUUGAAUGGUUUGGAGAGGAAGAGGUUCAAAAGCUAGAAUGAAAAUCAGUAGCAAUUCAAAAUCGCUUCAAAAACUCCAAGUGCUGUAGCAAAUUAUACUUGGUUACGCUUGAUUAGGAGGCUUAGACACUAAUCCAGCAAGUGAAAAGUCAAAUUUGCCCUUAAAAGCUCAAUUUUGGGUUAAAUUCGAAACAUGAAAUUUUGUAUAGAAACUUAAGAUUUUGUCAAACGAAAAGUUUUAGAGUUUUACAUUUCUAGCAACUUUUCUUAUUAGCACUUUGAAUGGUUUGGACAGGAAGAGGUUCAAAAGCUAGAAUCAAAAUCACUAGAAAUUCAAAAUCACUUCAAAAACUCUAAGUGCUCUAGCAAAUUAUACUUGGUUACGCUUGAUUAGGAGGCUUAGACACCAAUCCAACAAGUGAAAAGUCAAAUUUGCCCUUAAAAGCUCAAUUUUGCGUUAAAUUCGAAACAUGAAAUUUUGUAUAGAAACUUAAGAUUUUGUCAACUAAAAGUUGUAGAGUUUGACAUUUAUAGCAACUUUUCUUAUUAGCACUUUAAACGGUUUCGAGAAGAAAAGGUUUUAAAAGCUAGAAUCAAAAUCAGUAGCAAUUCAAAAUCACUUCAAACACUCUAAGUGCUCUAGCAAAUUAUACUUGGUUACGCUUGAUUAGGAGGCUUAGACACUAAUCCAGCAAGUGAAAAGUCAAAUUUGCCCUUGAAAGCUUAAUUUUGGGUUAAAUUCCAAACUUGAAAUUUCGUAUAGAAACUUAAGAUUCUGUCAAACUGAAAGUUGUUGAUUUUUACAUUUCUAGCAACUAUUCCUAUUAGCACUUUGAAUGGUUUGGAGAAUAAGACGUUCAAAAGGUAGAAUGAAAAUCAGUAGCAAUUCAAAAUCUCUUCAAAAACUCUAAGUGCUCUAGCAAAUUAUACUUGGUUAGGCUUGAUUAGGAGGCUUAGACACCAAUCCAACAAGUGAAAAGUCAAAUUUGCCCUUAACAACUCAAUUUUGGGUUAAAUUCGAAACCUGAAAUUUCGUACAGAAACUUAAGAUUCUGUCAAACGAAAGGUUGUAGAGUUUUACAUUUCUAGCAACUUUUUGUCGUAGCACUUUGAAUGGUUUGGAGAAAAAGAGGUCCAAAAGCUAGAAUCAAAAUCAGUAGCAAUUCAAAAUCACUUCAAAAACUCUAAGUGCUCUAGCAAAUUAUACUUGGUUACGCUUGAUUAGGAGGCUUAGACACUAAUCCAGCAAGUCAAAAGUCAAAUUUGCCCUUGAAAGAUGCAUUUUGGGUUAAAUUCGAAACUUGAAAUUUCGUAUAGAAACUUAAGAUUCUAUCAAACUAAAAGUUGUAGAUUUUUACAUUUCUAGCAAUUAUUCCUAUUAGCACUUUGAAUGGUUUGGAGAGUAAGAGGUUCAAAAGCUAGAGUGAAAAUCAGUAGCAAUUCAAAAUCACUUCAAACACUCUAAGUGCUCUAGCAAUUUAUACUUGGUUACGCUUGAUUAGGAGGCUUAGACGCUAAUCCAGCAAGUGAAAAGUCAAAUUUGCCCUGAACAACUAAAUUUUGUGUUAAAUUCGAAACAUGAAAUUUUCUAUAGAAACAUAAGAUUUUGUCAAACUAAAAGUUGUAGAGUUUGACAUUUCUAGAAACUUUUGUUAUUAGCACUUUGAAUGGUUUGGAGAGGAAGAGGUCGAAAAGCUAGAAUCAAAAUCAGUAGCAAUUCAAAAUCACUUCAAAAACUCUAAGUGCUCGAGCAAAUUAUACUUGGUUACACUUGAUUAGGAGGCUGAGACACUAAACCAGCAAGUGAAAAGUCAAAUUUGCCCUUGAAAACUCAAUUUUGGGUUAAAUUCGAAACUUGAAAUUUUGUACAGAAACUUAAGUUUUUGUCAAACGAAAAGUUGUAGAGUUUUACAUUUCUAGCAACUUUUCUAAUUAGGACUUUGGAUGGUUUGGAGAGGAAGAGGUUCAAAAUCUAGAAUCAAAAUCAGUAGCAAUUCAAAAUUACUUCAAACACUCUAAGUGCUCUAGCAAAUUAUACUUGGUUACGCUUGAUUAGGAGGCUUAGACACUAAUCCAGCAACUAUUCCUAUUAGCACUUUGAAUGGUUUGGAGAGGAAGAGGUUCAAAAGCUAGAAUGAAAAUCAGUAGCAAUUCAAAAUCGCUUCAAAAACUCCAAGUGCUGUAGCAAAUUAUACUUGGUUACGCUUGAUUAGGAGGCUUAGACACUAAUCCAGCAAGUGAAAAGUCAAAUUUGCCCUUAAAAGCUCAAUUUUGGGUUAAGUUCGAAACAUGAAAUUUUGUAUAGAAACUUAAGAUUUUGUCAAACGAAAAGUUUUAGAGUUUUACAUUUCUAGCAACUUUUCUUAUUAGCACUUUGAAUGGUUUGGACAGGAAGAGGUUCAAAAGCUAGAAUCAAAAUCACUAGCAAUUCAAAAUCACUUCAAAAACUCUAAGUGCUCUAGCAAAUUAUACUUGGUUACGCUUGAUUAGGAGGCUUAGACACCAAUCCAACAAGUGAAAAGUCAAAUUUGCCCUUAAAAGCUCAAUUUUGCGUUAAAUUCGAAACAUGAAAUUUUGUAUAGAAACUUAAGAUUUUGUCAACUAAAAGUUGUAGAGUUUGACAUUUAUAGCAACUUUUCUUAUUAGCACUUUAAACGGUUUCGCGAAGAAAAGGUUUUAAAAGCUAGAAUCAAAAUCAGUAGCAAUUCAAAAUCACUUCAAACACUCUAAGUGCUCUAGCAAAUUAUACUUGGUUACGCUUGAUUAGGAGGCUUAGACACUAAUCCAGCAAGUGAAAAGUCAAAUUUUCCCUUGAAAGCUCAAUUUUGGGUUAAAUUCGAAACAUGGAAUUUUGUAUAGAAACUGAAGUUUUUGUCAAACGAAAUGUUGUAGAGUUUUACAUUUCUAGCAACUUUUGUUAUUAGCACUUUGAAUGGUUUGGAGAGGAAGAGGUUCAAAAGCUAGAAUCAAAUCAGCAGCAAUUCAAAAUCACUUCAAACACUCUAAGUGCUCUAGCAAUUUAUACUUGGUUACGCUUGAUUAGGAGGCUUAGACACUAAUCCAACAAGUGAAAAGUCAAAUUUGCCCAUAAAAGCUCAAUUUUGCGUUAAAUUCGAAACAUGAAAUUUUGUAUAGAAACUUAAGAUUUUGUCAAACUAAAAGUUGUAGAGUUUGACAUUUAUAGCAACUUUUCUUAUUAGCACUUUGAACGGUUUCGAGAAGAAAAGAUUCAAAAGCUAGAAUCAAAAUAAGUAGCAAUUCAAAAUCACUUCAAACACUCUAAGUGCUCUAGCAAAUUAUACUUGGUUACGCUUGAUUAGGAGGCUUAGACACUAAUCCAGCAAGUGAAAAGUCAGAUUUGCCCUUGAAAGCUCAGUUUUGGGUUAAAUUCGAAACAUGGAAUUUUGUAUAGAAACUAAAGUUUUUGUCAAACGAAAUGUUGUAGAGUUUUACAUUUCUAGCAACUUUUGUUAUUAGCACUUUGAAUGGUUUGGAGAGGAAGAGGUUCAAAAGCUAGAAUCAAAAUCAGCAGCAAUUCAAAAUCACUUCAAACACUCUAAGUGCUCUAGCAAUUUAUACUUGGUUACGCUUGAUUAGGAGGCUUAGACACUAAUCCAACAAGUGAAAAGUCAAAUUUGCCCUUAAAAGCUCAAUUUUGCGUUAAAUUCGAAACAUGAAAUUUUGUAUAGAAACUUAAGAUUUUGUCAAACUAGAAGUUGUAGAGUUUGGCAUUUACAGCAACUUUUCUUAUUAGCACUUUGAACGGUUUCGAGAAGAAAAGAUUCAAAAGCUAGAAUCAAAAUCAGUAGCAAUUCAAAAUCACUUCAAACACUCUAAGUGCUCUAGCAAUUUAUACUUCGUUACACAUGAUUAGGAGGCUUAGACCCUAAUCCAGCAAGUGAAAAGUCAAAUUUGUCCUUGAAAGCUCAAUUUUGGGUUAAAUUCAAAACUUGAAAUUUUGUAUAAAAACCUAAAUUUUUGUCAAACGAAAAGUAGUAGAGUUUUAUAUUUCUAGCAACUUUUCUAAUUAGCACUUUGGAUGGUUUCGAGAGGAAGAGGUUCAAAAGCUAGAAUGAAAAUCAGUAGCAAUUCAAAAUCACUUCAAAAAGUCUAUGUUCUCUAGCAAAUUAUACUUGGUUAUGCUUGAUUUGGAGGCUUAGACACUAAUCCAGCAAGUCAAAAGUCAAAUUUGCCCUUGAAAGCACAAUUUUGGGUUAAAUUCGAAACUUGAAAUUUCGUACAGAAACUUAAGAUUCUGUCAAACGAAAGGUUGUAGAGUUUUACAUUUCUAGCAACUUUUCGUAUUAGCACUUUGAAUGGUUUGGAGAAAAAGAGGUCCAAAAGCUAGAAUCAAAAUCAGUAGCAAUUCAAAAUCACUUCAAAAACUCUAAAUGCUCUAGCAAAUUAUACUUGGUUACGCUUGAUUAGGAGGCUUACGCACUAAUCCAACAAGUGAAAAGUCAAAUUUGCCCUUAACAACUCAAUUUUGGGUUAAAUUCGAAACCUGAAAUUUCGUAUAGAAACUUAAGAUUUUGUCAAACGAAAAGUUGUAGAGUUUUACAUUUCGAGCAACUUUUCUUAUUAGCACUUUAAAUGGUUUGGAGAGGAAGAGGUUCAAAAGCUAGAAUCAAAAUCAGUAGCAAUUCAAAAUCACUUCAAAACCUCUAAGUGCUCUAGCAAAUUAUACUUGGUUACGCUUGAAUAGGAGGCUUAGACAGUAAUCCAACAAGUAAAAAGUCAAGUUUGCCCUUAAAAGCUCAAUUUUGCGUUAAACUCGAAACAUGAAAUUUUGAAUAGAAACUUAAGGUUUUGUCAAACUAAAAGUUGUAGAGUUUGACAUUUAUAGCAACUUUUCUUAUUAGCACUUUGAAUGGUUUCGAGAAGAAAAGGUUCAAAAGCUAGAAUCAAAAUCAGUAGCAAUUCAAAAUCACUUCAAACACUCUAAGUGCUUUAGCAAAUUAUACUUGGUUACGCUUGAUUAGGAGGCUUAGACACUAAUCCAGCAAGUGAAAAGUCAAAUUUGCCCUUGAAAGCUGAUUUUUUGGGUUAAAUUCGAAACUUGAAAUUUCGUAUAGAAACUUAAGAUUCUGUCAAACUGAAAGUUGUAGAUUUUUACAUUUCUAUCAACUAUUCCUAUUAGCACUUUGAAUGGUUUGGAGAGUAAGAGGUUCAAAAGCUAGAAUGAAAAUCAGUAGCAAUUCAAAAUCACUUCAAAAACUCUAAGUCCUCUAGCAAAUUAUACUUGAUUACGCUUGAUUAGGAGGCUUAGACACUAAUCCAACAAGUGAAAAGUCAAAUUUGCCCUUAACAAUUCAAUUUUGGGUUAAAUUCGAAACUUGAAAUUUCGUAUAGAAACUUAGGAUUCUAUCAAAUGAAAGGUUGUAGAGUUUUACAUUUCUAGCAACUUUUCGUAUUAGCACUUUGAAUGGUUUGGAGAACAAGAGGUCCAAAAGCUAGAAUCAAAAUCAGUAGCAAUUCAAAAUCACUUCAAAAACUCUAAGUGCUCUAGCAAAUUAUACUUGGUUACGGUUGAUUAGGAGGCUUAGACACUAAUCCAGUAAGUGAAAAGUCAAAUUUGCCCUCAACAACUCAAUUUUGGGUUAAAUUCGAAACUUGAAAUUUCGUAUAGAAACUUAAGAUUCUGUCAAACUAAAAGUUGUAGAUUUUUACCUUUCCAGCAACUAUUCCUAUUAGCACUUUGAAUGGUUUGGAGAGGAAGAGGUUCAAAAGCUAGAAUGAAAAUCAGUAGCAAUUCAAAAUCGCUUCAAAAAGUCUAAGUGCUCUAGCAAAUUAUACUUGGUUACGCUUGAUUAGGAGGCUUAGACACUAAUCCAGCAAGUGAAAAGUCAAAUUUGCCCUUAAAAGCUCAAUUUUGGGUUAAAUUCAAAACUUGAAAUUUUGUAUAGAAACCUAAAUUUUUGUCAAACUAAAAGUUGUAGAGUUUAAUAUUUCUUGCAACUUUUCUAAUUAGCACUUUGGAUGGUUUCGACAGGAAGAGGUUCAAAAGCUAGAAUGAAAAUCAGUAGCAAUUCAAAAUCACUUCAAAAAGUCUAAGUUCUCUAGCAAAUUAUACUUGAUUAUGCUUGAUUAGGAGGCUUAGACACUAAUCCAGCAAGGCAAAAGUCAAAUUUUCCCUUGAAAGCUCAAUUUUGGGUUAAAUUCGAAACUUGAAAUUUCGUACAGAAACUUAAGAUUCUGUCAAACCGAAAGUUGUAGAUUUUUACAUUUCUAGCAACUAUUCCAAUUAGCACUUUGAAUGGUUUGGAGAGUAAGAGGUUCAAAAGCUAGAAUGAAAAUCAGUAGCAAUUCAAAAUCACUUCAAAAAUUCUAAGUGCUCUAGCAAAUUAUACUUGGUUAUGCUUGAUUAGGAGGCUUAGACACUAAUCCAGCAAGUGAAAUGUCAAAUUUGCCCUUGAAAGCUCAAUUUUGGGUUAAAUUCGAAACUUGAAAUUUCGUAUAGAAACUUAAGAUUCUGUCAAACUGAAAGUUGUUGAUUUUUACAUUUCUAGCAACUAUUCCUAUUAGCACUUUGAAAGGUUUGGAGAAUAAGACGUUCAAAAGCUAGAAUGAAAAUCAGUAGCAAUUCAAAAUCUCUUCAAAAACUCUAAGUGCUCUAGCAAAUUAUACUUGGUUAGGCUUGAUUAGGAGGCUUAAACACCAAUCCAACAAGUGAAAAGUCAAAUUUGCCCUUAACAACUCAAUUUUGGGUUAAAUUCGAAACCUGAAAUUUCGUACAGAAACUUAAGAUUCUGUCAAACGAAAGGUUGUAGAAUUUUACAUUUCUAGCAACUUUUCGUCGUAGCACUUUGAAUGGUUUGGAGAAAAAGAGGUCCAAAAGCUAGAAUCAAAAUCAGUAGCAAUUCAAAAUCACUUCAAAAACUCUAAGUGCUCUAGCAAAUUAUACUUGGUUACGCUUGAUUAGGAGGCUUAGACACUAAUCCAGCAAGUGAAAAGUCAAAUUUGCCCUUAAAAGCUCAAUUUUGGGUUAAAUUCAAAACUUGAAAUUUUGUAUAGAAACCUAAAUUUUUGUCAAACUAAAAGUUGUAGAGUUUAAUAUUUCUUGCAACUUUUCUAAUUAGCACUUUGGAUGGUUUCGACAGGAAGAGGUUCAAAAGCUAGAAUGAAAAUCAGUAGCAAUUCAAAAUCACUUCAAAAAGUCUAAGUUCUCUAGCAAAUUAUACUUGAUUAUGCUUGAUUAGGAGGCUUAGACACUAAUCCAGCAAGGCAAAAGUCAAAUUUUCCCUUGAAAGCUCAAUUUUGGGUUAAAUUCGAAACUUGAAAUUUCGUACAGAAACUUAAGAUUCUGUCAAACCGAAAGUUGUAGAUUUUUACAUUUCUAGCAACUAUUCCAAUUAGCACUUUGAAUGGUUUGGAGAGUAAGAGGUUCAAAAGCUAGAAUGAAAAUCAGUAGCAAUUCAAAAUCACUUCAAAAAUUCUAAGUGCUCUAGCAAAUUAUACUUGGUUAUGCUUGAUUAGGAGGCUUAGACACUAAUCCAGCAAGUGAAAUGUCAAAUUUGCCCUUGAAAGCUCAAUUUUGGGUUAAAUUCGAAACUUGAAAUUUCGUAUAGAAACUUAAGAUUCUGUCAAACUGAAAGUUGUUGAUUUUUACAUUUCUAGCAACUAUUCCUAUUAGCACUUUGAAAGGUUUGGAGAAUAAGACGUUCAAAAGCUAGAAUGAAAAUCAGUAGCAAUUCAAAAUCUCUUCAAAAACUCUAAGUGCUCUAGCAAAUUAUACUUGGUUAGGCUUGAUUAGGAGGCUUAAACACCAAUCCAACAAGUGAAAAGUCAAAUUUGCCCUUAACAACUCAAUUUUGGGUUAAAUUCGAAACCUGAAAUUUCGUACAGAAACUUAAGAUUCUGUCAAACGAAAGGUUGUAGAAUUUUACAUUUCUAGCAACUUUUCGUCGUAGCACUUUGAAUGGUUUGGAGAAAAAGAGGUCCAAAAGCUAGAAUCAAAAUCAGUAGCAAUUCAAAAUCACUUCAAAAACUCUAAGUGCUCUAGCAAAUUAUACUUGGUUACGCUUGAUUAGGAGUCUUAGACACUAAUCCAGCAAGUGAAAAGUCAAAUUUGUCCUUGAAAGCUCAAUUGUGGGUUAAAUUCAAAACUUGAAACCUUGUAUAAAAACCUAAAUUUUUGUCAAACUAAAAGUUGUAGAGUUUUACAUUUCUAGCAACUUUUCUAAUGAGCACUUUGGAUGGUUUCGGGAGGAAGAGUUUCAAAAGCUAGAAUGAAAAUAAGUAGCAAUUCAAAAUCAAUUCAAAAACUCUAAGUUCUCUAGCAAAUUAUACUUGGUUACGCUUGAUUAGGAGGCUUAGACACUAAUCCAACAAAUGAAAAGUCAAAUUUGCCCUUGAAAGCUCAAUUUUGGGUUAAAUUCGAAACUUGGAAUUUUGUAUAGAAACAUAAGUUUUUGUCAAACGAAAAGUUGUAGAGUUUUACAUUUCUAGCAACUUUUCUUAUUAGCACUUUGAAUGGUUUGGAGAGGAAUAGGUCCAAAAGCUAGAAUCAAAAUCAGUAGCAAUUCAAAAUCACAUCAAAAAACUCUAAGUGCUCUAGCAAAUUAUACUUGGUUACGCUUGAUUAGGAGGUUUAAACACUAAUCCAGCAAGUGAAAAGUCAAAUUUGCCCUUGAAAGCUCAAUUUUUGAAUUAAAAAUCAAUUCAAAAACUCUAAGUUCUCUAGCAAAUUAUACUUGGUUAGUCUUGAUUAGGAGGCUUAGACACUAAUCCAGCAAGUCAAAAGUCAAAUUUGCCCUUAAAAGCUCAAUUUUAGGUUAAAUUCAAAACAUGAAAUUUUGUAUAGAAACCUAAGUUUUUGUCAAACUAAAAGUUGUAGAGUUUGACAUUUCUAGCAACUUUUCUUAUUAGCACUUUGAAUGGUUUGGAGGGGAAGAGGUUCACAAGCUAGAAUCAAAAUCAGUAGCAAUUCAAAAUAACUUCAAAAACUCUAAGUGCUGUAGCAAAUUAUACUUGGUUACGCUUUAUUAGGAGGCUUAGACACUAAUCCAGCAAGUGAAAAAUCAAAUUUGUCCUUGAAAGCUCAAUUUUGGGUUAAAUUCAAAACUUGAAACCUUGUAUAAAAACCUAAAUUUUUGUCAAACUAAAAGUGGUAGAGUUUUACAUUUCUAGCAACUUUUCUAAUGAGCACUUUGGAUGGUUUGGAGGGGAAGAGGUUCAAAAGCUAGAAUCAAAAUCAGUAGCAAUUCAAAAUCACUUCAAAAACUCUAAGUGCUCUAGCAAAUUAUACUUGGUUACGCUUGAUUAGGAGGCUUAAACACUAAUCCAGCAAGUGAAAAGUCAAAUUUGCCCUUGAAAGCUCAAUUUUUGAAUUAAAAAUCAAUUCAAAAACUCUAAGUUCUCUAGCAAAUUAUACUUGGUUAGUCUUGAUUAGGAGGCUUAGACACUAAUCCAGCAAGUCAAAAGUCAAAUUUGCCCUUAAAAGCUCAAUUUUAGGUUAAAUUCAAAACUUGAAAUUUUGUAUAGAAACCUAAGUUUUUGUCAAACUAAAAGUUGUAGAGUUUACAUUUUUAGCAACUUUUUUUAUUAGCACUUUGAAUGGUUUGGAGGGGAAGAGGUUCACAAGCUAGAAUCAAAAUCAGUAGCAAUUCAAAAUCACUUAAAAAACUCUAAGUGCUCUAGCAAAUUAUACUUGGUUACGCUUGAUUAGGAGGCUUAGACACUAAUCCUACAAGUGAAAAGUCAAAUGUGCCCUUGAAAGCUCAAUUUUGGGUUAAAUUCGAAACUUGGAAUUUUGUAUAGAAACAUAAGUUUUUGUCAAACGAAAAGUUGUAAAGUUUUACAUUUCUAGCAACUUUUCUUAUUAGCACUUUGAAUGGUUUGGAGAGGAAUAGGUCCAAAAGCUAGAAUCAAAAUCAGUAGCAAUUCAAAAUCACAUCAAAAAACUCUAAGUGCUCUAGCAAAUUAUACUUGGUUACGCUUGAUUAGGAGGUUUAAACACUAAUCCAGCAAGUGAAAAGUCAAAUUUGCCCUUGAAAGCUCAAUUUUUGAAUUAAAAAUCAAUUCAAAAACUCUAAGUUCUCUAGCAAAUUAUACUUGGUUAGUCUUGAUUAGGAGGCUUAGACACUAAUCCAGCAAGUCAAAAGUCAAAUUUGCCCUUAAAAGCUCAAUUUUAGGUUAAAUUCAAAACAUGAAAUUUUGUAUAGAAACCUAAGUUUUUGUCAAACUAAAAGUUGUAGAGUUUUACAUUUCUAGCAACUUUUCUAAUGAGCACUUUGGAUGGUUUCGGGAGGAAGAGUUUCAAAAGCUAGAAUGAAAAUAAGUAGCAAUUCAAAAUCAAUUCAAAAACUCUAAGUUCUCUAGCAAAUUAUACUUGGUUACGCUUGAUUAGGAGGCUUAGACACUAAUCCAACAAAUGAAAAGUCAAAUUUGCCCUUGAAAGCUCAAUUUUGGGUUAAAUUCGAAACUUGGAAUUUUGUAUAGAAACAUAAGUUUUUGUCAAACGAAAAGUUGUAGAGUUUUACAUUUCUAGCAACUUUUCUUAUUAGCACUUUGAAUGGUUUGGAGAGGAAUAGGUCCAAAAGCUAGAAUCAAAAUCAGUAGCAAUUCAAAAUCACAUCAAAAAACUCUAAGUGCUCUAGCAAAUUAUACUUGGUUACGCUUGAUUAGGAGGUUUAAACACUAAUCCAGCAAGUGAAAAGUCAAAUUUGCCCUUGAAAGCUCAAUUUUUGAAUUAAAAAUCAAUUCAAAAACUCUAAGUUCUCUAGCAAAUUAUACUUGGUUAGUCUUGAUUAGGAGGCUUAGACACUAAUCCAGCAAGUCAAAAGUCAAAUUUGCCCUUAAAAGCUCAAUUUUAGGUUAAAUUCAAAACAUGAAAUUUUGUAUAGAAACCUAAGUUUUUGUCAAACUAAAAGUUGUAGAGUUUUACAUUUCUAGCAACUUUUCUUAUUAGCACUUUGAAUGGUUUGGAGGGGAAGAGGUUCACAAGCUAGAAUCAAAAUCAGUAGCAAUUCAAAAUAACUUCAAAAACUCUAAGUGCUGUAGCAAAUUAUACUUGGUUACGCUUUAUUAGGAGGCUUAGACACUAAUCCAGCAAGUGAAAAAUCAAAUUUGUCCUUGAAAGCUCAAUUUUGGGUUAAAUUCAAAACUUGAAACCUUGUAUAAAAACCUAAAUUUUUGUCAAACUAAAAGUGGUAGAGUUUUACAUUUCUAGCAACUUUUCUAAUGAGCACUUUGGAUGGUUUGGAGGGGAAGAGGUUCAAAAGCUAGAAUCAAAAUCAGUAGCAAUUCAAAAUCACUUCAAAAACUCUAAGUGCUCUAGCAAAUUAUACUUGGUUACGCUUGAUUAGGAGGCUUAAACACUAAUCCAGCAAGUGAAAAGUCAAAUUUGCCCUUGAAAGCUCAAUUUUUGAAUUAAAAAUCAAUUCAAAAACUCUAAGUUCUCUAGCAAAUUAUACUUGGUUAGUCUUGAUUAGGAGGCUUAGACACUAAUCCAGCAAGUCAAAAGUCAAAUUUGCCCUUAAAAGCUCAAUUUUAGGUUAAAUUCAAAACUUGAAAUUUUGUAUAGAAACCUAAGUUUUUGUCAAACUAAAAGUUGUAGAGUUUACAUUUUUAGCAACUUUUUUUAUUAGCACUUUGAAUGGUUUGGAGGGGAAGAGGUUCACAAGCUAGAAUCAAAAUCAGUAGCAAUUCAAAAUCACUUAAAAAACUCUAAGUGCUCUAGCAAAUUAUACUUGGUUACGCUUGAUUAGGAGGCUUAGACACUAAUCCUACAAGUGAAAAGUCAAAUGUGCCCUUGAAAGCUCAAUUUUGGGUUAAAUUCGAAACUUGGAAUUUUGUAUAGAAACAUAAGUUUUUGUCAAACGAAAAGUUGUAAAGUUUUACAUUUCUAGCAACUUUUCUUAUUAGCACUUUGAAUGGUUUGGAGAGGAAUAGGUCCAAAAGCUAGAAUCAAAAUCAGUAGCAAUUCAAAAUCACAUCAAAAAACUCUAAGUGCUCUAGCAAAUUAUACUUGGUUACGCUUGAUUAGGAGGUUUAAACACUAAUCCAGCAAGUGAAAAGUCAAAUUUGCCCUUGAAAGCUCAAUUUUUGAAUUAAAAAUCAAUUCAAAAACUCUAAGUUCUCUAGCAAAUUAUACUUGGUUAGUCUUGAUUAGGAGGCUUAGACACUAAUCCAGCAAGUCAAAAGUCAAAUUUGCCCUUAAAAGCUCAAUUUUAGGUUAAAUUCAAAACAUGAAAUUUUGUAUAGAAACCUAAGUUUUUGUCAAACUAAAAGUUGUAGAGUUUUACAUUUCUAGCAACUUUUCUUAUUAGCACUUUGAAUGGUUUGGAGGGGAAGAGGUUCACAAGCUAGAAUCAAAAUAAGUAGCAAUUCAAAAUCACUUCAAAAACUCUAAGUGCUCUAGCAAAUUAUACUUGGUUACGCUUGAUUAGGAGGCUUAGACACUAAUCCAACAACUGAAAAGUCAAAUUUGCCCUUGAAAGCUCAAUUUUGGGUUAAAUUCGAAACUUGGAAUUUUGUAUAGAAACAUAAGUUUUUGUCAAACGAAAAGUUGUAGAGUUUUACAUUUCUAGCAAGUUUUCUUAUUAGCACUUUGAAUGGUUUGGAGAGGAAUAGGUCCAAAGGCUAGAAUCAAAAUUAGUAGCAAUUCAAAAUCACUUCAAAAACUCUAAGUGCUGUAGCAAAUUAUACUUGGUUACGCUUGAUUAGGAGGCUUAGACACUAAUCCAGCAAGUGAAAAGUCAAAUUUGUCCUUGAAAGCUCAAUUUUGGGUUAAAUUCAAAACUUGAAACCUUGUAUAAAAACCUAAAUUUUUGUCAAACUAAAAGUGGUAGAGUUUUACAUUUCUAGCAACUUUUCUAAUGAGCACUUUGGAUGGUUUGGAGGGGAAGAGGUUCAAAAGCUAGAAUCAAAAUCAGUAGCAAUUCAAAAUCACUUCAAAAACUCUAAGUGCUCUAGCAAAUUAUACUUGGUUACGCUUGAUUAGGAGGCUUAAACACUAAUCCAGCAAGUGAAAAGUCAAAUUUGCCCUUGAAAGAUCAAUUUUUGAAUUAAAAAUCAAUUCAAAAACUCUAAGUUCUCUAGCAAAUUAUACUUGGUUAGUCUUGAUUAGGAGGCUUAGACACUAAUCCAGCAAGUCAAAAGUCAAAUUUGCCCUUAAAAGCUCAAUUUUAGGUUAAAUUCAAAACUUGAAAUUUUGUAUAGAAACCUAAGUUUUUGUCAAACUAAAAGUUGUAGAGUUUACAUUUGUAGCAACUUUUCUUAUUAGCACUUUGAAUGGUUUGGAGGGGAAGAGGUUCACAAGCUAGAAUCAAAAUCAGUAGCAAUUCAAAAUCACUUAAAAAACUCUAAGUGCUCUAGCAAAUUAUACUUGGUUACGCUUGAUUAGGAGGCUUAGACACUAAUCCAACAAGUGAAAAGUCAAAUGUGCCCUUGAAAGCUCAAUUUUGGGUUAAAUUCGAAACUUGGAAUUUUGUAUAGAAACAUAAGUUUUUGUCAAACGAAAAGUUGUAGAGUUUUACAUUUCUAGCAACUUUUCUUAUUAGCACUUUGAAUGGUUUGGAGAGGAAGAGGUCCAAAAGCUAGAAUCAAAAUCAGUAGCAAUUCAAAAUCACUUCAAAAACUCUAAGUGCUCUAGCAAAUUAUACUUGGUUACGCUUGAUUAGGAGUCUUAGACACUAAUCCAGCAAGUGAAAAGUCAAAUUAUUCCUCGAAAGCUCAAUUGUGGGUUAAAUUCAAAACUUGAAACCUUGUAUAAAAACCUAAAUUUUUGUCAAACUAAAAGUUGUAGAGUUUUACAUUUCUAGCAACUUUUCUAAUGAGCACUUUGGAUGGUUUCGAGAGGAAGAGGUUCAAAAGCUAGAAUGAAAAUAAGUAGCAAUUCAAAAUCAAUUCAAAAACUCUAUGUUCUCUAGCAAAUUAUACUUGGUUAGGCUUGAUUAGGAGGCUUAGACACUAAUCCAGCAAGUCAAAAGUCAAAUUUGCCCUUAAAAGCUCAAUUUUAGGUUAAAUUCAAAACAUGAAAUUUUGUAUAGAAACCUAAGUUUUUGUCAAACGAAAAGUUGUAGAGUUUUACAUUUCUAGCAACUUUUCUUAUUAGCACUUUGAAUGGUUUGGAGGGAAGAGGUUCACAAGCUAGAAUCAAAAUCAGUAGCAAUUCAAAAUCACUUCAAAAACUCUAAGUGCUCUAGCAAAGUAUACUUGGUUACGCUUGAUUAGGAGGCUUAGACACUAAUCCAACAAAUGAAAAGUCAAAUUUGCCCUUGAAAGCUCAAUUUUGGGUUAAAUUCGAAACUUGGAAUUUUUUAUAGAAACAUAAGUUUUUGUCAAACGAAAAGUUGUAGAGUUUUACAUUUCUAGCAACUUUUCUUAUUAGCACUUUGAAUGGUUUGGAGAGGAAUAGGUCCAAAAGCUAGAAUCAAAAUCAGUAGCAAUUCAAAAUCACUUCAAAACUAAGUGCUCUAGCAAAUUAUACUUGGUUACGCUUGAUUAGGAGGCUUAGACACUAAUCCAGCAAGUGAAAAGUCAAAUUUGUCCUUGAAAGCUCAAUUUUGGGUUAAAUUCAAAACUUGAAACCUUGUAUAAAAACCUAAAUUUUUGUCAAACUAAAAGUUGUAGAGUUUUACAUUUCUAGCAACUUUUCUAAUGAGCACUUUGGAUGGUUUGGAGGGGAAGAGGUUCAAAAGCUAGAAUCAAAAUCAGUAGCAAUUCAAAAUCACUUCAAAAACUCUAAGUGCUCUAGCAAAUUAUACUUGGUUACGCUUGAUUAGGAGGCUUAGACACUAAUCCAGCAAGUGAAAAGUCAAAUUUGCCCUUGAAAGCUCAAUUUUUGAAUUAAAAAUCAAUUCAAAAACUCUAAGUUCUCUAGCAAAUUAUACUUGGUUAGUCUUGAUUAGGAGGCUUAGACACUAAUCCAGCAAGUCAAAAGUCAAAUUUGCCCUUAAAAGCUCAAUUUUAGGUUAAAUUCAAAACUUGAAAUUUUGUAUAGAAACCUAAGUUUUUGUCAAACUAAAAGUUGUAGAGUUUACAUUUCUAGCAACUUUUCUAUUUAGCACUUUGAAUGGUUUGGAGGGGAAGAGGUUCACAAGCAAGAAUCAAAAUCAGUAGCAAUUCAAAAUCACUUAAAAAACUCUAAGUGCUCUAGCAAAUUAUACUUGGUUACGCUUGAUUAGGAGGCUUAGACACUAAUCCAACAAGUGAAAAGUCAAAUGUGCCCUUGAAAGCUCAAUUUUGGGUUAAAUUCGAAACUUGGAAUUUUGUAUAGAAACAUAAGUUUUUGUCAAACGAAAAGUUGUAGAGUUUUACAUUUCUAGCAACUUUUCUUAUUAGCACUUUGAAUGGUUUGGAGAGGAAGAGGUCCAAAAGCUAGAAUCAAAAUCAGUAGCAAUUCAAAAUCACUUCAAAAACUCUAAGUGCUCUAGCAAAUUAUACUUGGUUACGCUUGAUUAGGAGUCUUAGACACUAAUCCAGCAAGUGAAAAGUCAAAUUAUUCCUUGAAAGCUCAAUUGUGGGUUAAAUUCAAAACUUGAAACCUUGUAUAAAAACCUAAAUUUUUGUCAAACUAAAAGUUGUAGAGUUUUACAUUUCUAGCAACUUUUCUAAUGAGCACUUUGGAUGGUUUCGAGAGGAAGAGGUUCAAAAGCUAGAAUGAAAAUAAGUAGCAAUUCAAAAUCAAUUCAAAAACUCUAAGUUCUCUAGCAAAUUAUACUUGGUUAGGCUUGAUUAGGAGGCUUAGACACUAAUCCAGCAAGUCAAAAGUCAAAUUUGCCCUUAAAAGCUCAAUUUUAGGUUAAAUUCAAAACAUGAAAUUUUGUAUAGAAACCUAAGUUUUUGUCAAAAGAAAAGUUGUAGAGUUUUACAUUUCUAGCAACUUUUCUUAUUAGCACUUUGAAUGGUUUGGAGGGAAGAGGUUCACAAGCUAGAAUCAAAAUCAGUAGUAAUUCAAAAUCACUUCAAAAACUCUAAGUGCUCUAGCAAAUUAUACUUGGUUAGUCUUGAUUAGGAGGCUUAGACACUAAUCCAACAACUGAAAAGUCAAAUUUGCCCUUGAAAGCUCAAUUUUGGGUUAAAUUCGAAACUUGGAAUUUUGUAUAGAAACAUAAGUUUUUGUCAAACGAAAAGUUGUAGAGUUUUACAUUUCUAGCAACUUUUCUUAUUAGCACUUUGAAUGGUUUGGAGAGGAACAGGUCCAAAAGCUAGAAUCAAAAUCAGUAGCAAUUCAAAAUCACUUCAAAAACUCUAAGUGCUCUAGCAAAUUAUACUUGGUUACGCUUGAUUAGGAGGCUUAGACACUAAUCCAACAAAUGAAAAGUCAAAUUUGCCCUUGAAAGCUCAAUUUUGGGUUAAAUUCGAAACUUGGAAUUUUGUAUAGAAACAUAAGUUUUUGUCAAACGAAAAGUUGUAGAGUUUUACAUUUCUAGCAACUUUUCUUAUUAGCACUUUGAAUGGUUUGGAGAGGAAUAGGUCCAAAAGCUAGAAUCAAAAUCAGUAGCAAUUCAAAAUCACUUCAAAAACUCUAAGUGCUCUAGCAAAUUAUACUUGGUUACGCUUGAUUAGGAGGCUUAGACACUAAUCCAGCAAGUGAAAAGUCAAAUUUGUCCUUGAAAGCUCAAUUUUGGGUUAAAUUCAAAACUUGAAACCUUGUAUAAAAACCUAAAUUUUUGUCAAACUAAAAGUUGUAGAGUUUUACAUUUCUAGCAACUUUUCUAAUGAGCACUUUGGAUGGUUUGGAGGGGAAGAGGUUCAAAAGCUAGAAUCAAAAUCAGUAGCAAUUCAAAAUCACUUCAAAAACUCUAAGUGCUCUAGCAAAUUAUACUUGGUUACGCUUGAUUAGGAGGCUUAGACACUAAUCUAGCAAGUGAAAAGUCAAAUUUGUCCUUGAAAGCUCAAUUUUUGAAUUAAAAAUCAAUUCAAAAACUCUAAGUUCUCUAGCAAAUUAUACUUGGUUAGUCUUGAUUAGGAGGCUUAGACACUAAUCCAGCAAGUCAAAAGUCAAAUUUGCCCUUAAAAGCUCAAUUUUAGGUUAAAUUCAAAACUUGAAAUUUUGUAUAGAAACCUAAGUUUUUGUCAAACUAAAAGUUGUAGAGUUUACAUUUCUAGCAACUUUUCUUAUUAGCACUUUGAAUGGUUUGGAGGGGAAGAGGUUCACAAGCUAGAAUCAAAAUCAGUAGCAAUUCAAAAUCACUUAAAAAACUCUAAGUGCUCUAGCAAAUUAUACUUGGUUACGCUUGAUUAGGAGGCUUAGACACUAAUCCAACAAGUGAAAAGUCAAAUUUGCCCUUGAAAGCUCAAUUUUGGGUUAAAUUCGAAACUUGGAAUUUUGUAUAGAAACAUAAGUUUUUGUCAAACGAAAAGUUGUAGAGUUUUACAUUUCUAGCAACUUUUCUUAUUAGCACUUUGAAUGGUUUGGAGAGGAAGAGGUCCAAAAGCUAGAAUCAAAAUCAGUAGCAAUUCAAAAUCACUUCAAAAACUCUAAGUGCUCUAGCAAAUUAUACUUGGUUACGCUUGAUUAGGAGGCUUAGACACUAAUCCAGCAAGUGAAAAGUCAAAUUUGUCCUUGAAAGCU